UCACUGGUAGUAUAUCGGAUUAGUACAUGCGCCUAUCAUCCAUCUGGCCACGCGAGAGCGGGGUUCGACUCCCUGCCAGGGAU